rnacentral:rRNA from 1 species
CGGACGGGUGAGUAACGCGUGGAUAACCUGCCCCAUACCGGGGGAUAACAGCCGGAAACGGCUGCUAAUACCGCAUAAGCGCACAGGAAUGCAUAUUCCAGUGUGAAAAACUCCGGUGGUAUGGGAUGGAUCCGCGUCUGAUUAGCUAGUUGGCGGGAUAGAGGCCCACCAAGGCGACGAUCAGUAGCCGACCUGAGAGGGUGGCCGGCCACAUUGGGACUGAGACACGGCCCAGACUCCUACGGGAGGCAGCAG